rnacentral:tRNA from 1 species
GCGCCAGUUGUCUAGUGGUAUGAUCCGACCCUCCCAAGGUCGUGGCCCGGGUUCAAUUCCCGGCUGGCGCA